CUCAACUUGUUGCGUGAACAAAGCAUAUUCAUUUCUUUCUGCUUCUCUCUCCCUCUCUUUUUUUUUUUUUUGCAUUUUCCACUUUCCCAUUUCUCCAGAGGAGACAAACAAAUCUCUGAGGGGCUAUUAAGCUGCAAAUACACCGGAGCCAAAAAUAGAAGAUGCAGCCUUAUAAACAUUUUGCAUAUUUUGGUGUAAUUUGUCGAAAAUAGCACAAAAUAUGCUCACAGUUGGCAUCUAGAAUGCAAAUAUUAGGAAUCCGGUCCCCUGAUACACGGUGGUUUUUCAGCAGCGUGGUGCGGGCUCGGCCAAUAGCUGUCGCCCGGCUCCGUGGUUUGUGGGGGCGUGAAGACUGCCGGCACUUGUGCGUGCAGAGCACGAGGGAGCUCCGCGGUGCCAGGUGACAUGACACUGGCGGCCCUAGAGGUUCCGGGGCACCAAAGCCGAGAGUGGAACUCAGGGAAAACCAGAGACGUGUAUUUCCAACAUCAACGAUGCUGCCUGUUUUUGUGAGCCGUGUGCCCGAGACCAAGAACCGAGGUGGCGGGCCACGCGGGCGGGGGGCUGGCGGACACAUGGCCCUCUCCUCCCGUUCCUUCCAGAACAUGGGGGUUAAGUGGUUAAGGGGCUUUCGGGAAGGAAGCCUGCGAUCCGUGGGCGGGCUGGUGGGAGUCUCUCCCACCCAGGGCUUGAAAGAGGCUGCCUGGUUUUACGGCGGACGGUGACUUCGUCUUCCCUCUCCUGACAGGUGAGACGCGGCCCUCCUUCGCCCGGGGGGUCCCCCCUGUACAUCUGGCACCCACCUCACAGGUGAACCUUCCCGCUCCUCGAUGAUGACGGUUGAUCCCAUCCCUUCUGUGCAUCAUAAUCAAACGACGAGUUCCGUUCUGUCCUCAAGGAUGUCCCGAUGGAGGAACCACAGACACGUAGCGAACCCGUCCCCAUGUUGGUCUGGAAGGCACGAGUGGACUCACCGCCCUCGUUAUCGGGUGGGGAAUGGAGAUGUGAAGGUGAGGUUCUGUUUUCAGGGAUGUGGAUUUGUUUACCCGAAUUCUUCUCCCAGCAAAGCCGUGAGUAAGCCCUGGAACACGCACGUCUUCCACAUUUAAAAUAUUAAUAAAUCUCGGGUGCCAAGUUGCUCUCUGCGCGUG
rnacentral:lncRNA from 12 species